UUCAAAAAUAUUGGGGCAAUGAAUGGAGAGAGAAAUUAAAAAAAAAAAGGACGGUGACAGAAAUUGAGGAGGAGACAAAGAUGUCUGCGGAGGGGAGUGGGGUCUUGAAGAUCAAUCGCUACUCAUUCGGUCCCCUUCCCUUUCCUUCCUCCUUUAAUUACACUCUCGGCAGAAAGCGGGAGGGAGAGAUGA
rnacentral:ribozyme from 11 species